UACAGAGGUGGCAAGCGUUGUUCGGAAUUACUGGGCGUAAAGGGCGCGUAGGCGGUCUUGUAAGUCCUGUGUGAAAUCCCUCGGCUCAACCGAGGAACUGCACAGGAAACUGUGAGACUUGAGUUCGGGAGAGGGAAGCGGAAUUCCGGGUGUAGCGGUGAAAUGCGUAGAUAUCCGGAGGAACACCGGUGGCGAAGGCGGCUUCCUGGACCGACACUGACGCUGAGGCGCGAAAGCCAGGGGAGCAAACGGG
rnacentral:rRNA from 1 species